rnacentral:rRNA from 1 species
CUCCCAAGGCUAAAUACUCCCUAGUGACCGAUAGUGAACCAGUACCGUGAGGGAAAGGUGAAAAGCACCCCGGAAGGGGAGUGAAACAGUUCCUGAAACCGUGUGCCUACAAGUAGUUAGAGCCCGUUAAUGGGUGAUAGCGUGCCUUUUGUAGAAUGAACCGGCGAGUUACGAUUUGUUGCAAGGUUAAGCGGAAAAAGCGGAGCCGUAGCGAAAGCGAGUCUGAAUAGGGCGCAUAAGUAACAGGUCGUAGACCCGAAACCAGGUGAUCUACCCAUGUCCAGGAUGAAGGUAAGGUAAUACUUACUGGAGGUCCGAACCCACGCACGUUGAAAAGUGCGGGGAUGAGGUGUGGGUAGCGGAGAAAUUCCAAUCGAACUUGGAGAUAGCUGGUUCUCUCCGAAAUAGCUUUAGGGCUAGCCUCGAGGUAAAGAGUCAUGGAGGUAGAGCACUGUUUGGACUAGGGGCCCUUCUCGGGUUACCGAAUUCAGAUAAACUCCGAAUGCCAUGUACUUAUACUCGGGAGUCAGACUGCGAGUGAUAAGAUCCGUAGUCGAAAGGGAAACAGCCCAGACCACCAGUUAAGGUCCCCAAAUAUAUGUUAAGUGGAAAAGGAUGUGGGGUUGCUUAGACAACCAGGAUGUUGGCUUAGAAGCAGCCACCAUUGAAAGAGUGCGUAAUAGCUCACUGGUCGAGUGACCCCGCGCCGAAAAUGUACCGGGGCUAAACAUAUUACCGAAACUGUGGAUGAACCUCUUUAGAGGUUCGUGGUAGGAGAGCGUUCUAAGGGCGGUGAAGUCAGACCGGAAGGACUGGUGGAGCGCUUAGAAGUGAGAAUGCCGGUAUGAGUAGCGAAAGAAGGGUGAGAAUCCCUUCCACCGAAUAUCUAAGGUUUCCUGAGGAAGGCUCGUCCGCUCAGGGUUAGUCGGGACCUAAGCCGAGGCCGAUAGGCGUAGGCGAUGGACAACAGGUAGAGAUUCCUGUACCAGUGCUAAUUGUUUAACCGAUGGGGUGACACAGAAGGAUAGGGAAUCGCACGAAUGGAAAUGUGCGUCCAAGCAGUGAGUGUGAGAAGUAGGCAAAUCCGCUUCUCGCGAAGCAUGAGCUGUGAUGGGGAAGGAAAUUAAGUACGGAAGUUCCUGAUUUCACGCUGUCAAGAAAAGCCUCUAGGAAGAGUAGUACUGCCCGUACCGCAAACCGACACAGGUAGAUGAGGAGAGAAUCCUAAGGUGAGCGAGAGAACUCUCGUUAAGGAACUCGGCAAAAUGACCCCGUAACUUCGGGAGAAGGGGUGCUCUAUUAGGGUGCAAGCCCGAGAGAGCCGCAGUGAAUAGGCCCAGGCGACUGUUUAGCAAAAACACAGGUCUCUGCAAAACCGUAAGGUGACGUAUAGGGGCUGACGCCUGCCCGGUGCUGGAAGGUUAAGAGGAGUGCUUAGCUUCGGCGAAGGUACGAAUUGAAGCCCCAGUAAACGGCGGCCGUAACUAUAACGGUCCUAAGGUAGCGAAAUUCCUUGUCGGGUAAGUUCCGACCCGCACGAAAGGCGCAACGAUCUGGGCACUGUCUCAACGAGAGACUCGGUGAAAUUAUAGUACCUGUGAAGAUGCAGGUUACCCGCGACAGGACGGAAAGACCCCGUGGAGCUUUACUGCAACCUGAUAUGGAAUGUUUGUACCGCUUGUACAGGAUAGGUAGGAGCCGAAGAGACGUGUGCGCUAGCAUACGAGGAGGCAAUGGUGGGAUACUACCCUGGCUGUAUGACCAUUCUAACCCGCCACGCUUAGCGCGUGGGGAGACAGUGUCAGGUGGGCAGUUUGACUGGGGCGGUCGCCUCCUAAAGAGUAACGGAGGCGCCCAAAGGUUCCCUCAGAAUGGAUGGAAAUCAUUCGCAGAGUGUAAAGGCACAAGGGAGC